rnacentral:rRNA from 1 species
AGUCGAACGAAGCAUUUAGAACAGAUUACUUCGGUUUGAAGUUCUUUAUGACUGAGUGGCGGACGGGUGAGUAACGCGUGGGUAACCUGCCUUGUACUGGGGGAUAGCAGCUGGAAACGGCUGGUAAUACCGCAUAAGCGCACAAUGUUGCAUGACAUGGUGUGAAAAACUCCGGUGGUAUAAGAUGGACCCGCGUCUGAUUAGCUAGUUGGUGAGAUAACAGCCCACCAAGGCGAUGAUCAGUAGCCGACCUGAGAGGGUGACCGGCCACAUUGGGACUGAGACACGGCCCAGACUCCUACGGGAGGCAGCAGUGGGGAAUAUUGCACAAUGGAGGAAACUCUGAUGCAGCGACGCCGCGUGAGUGAAGAAGUAAUUCGUUAUGUAAAGCUCUAUCAGCAGGGAAGAUAGUGACGGUACCUGACUAAGAAGCUCCGGCUAAAUACGUGCCAGCAGCCGCGGUAAUACGUAUGGAGCAAGCGUUAUCCGGAUUUACUGGGUGUAAAGGGAGUGUAGGUGGCCAUGCAAGUCAGAAGUGAAAAUCCGGGGCUCAACCCCGGAACUGCUUUUGAAACUGUAAGGCUAGAGUGCAGGAGGGGUGAGUGGAAUUCCUAGUGUAGCGGUGAAAUGCGUAGAUAUUAGGAGGAACACCAGUGGCGAAGGCGGCUCACUGGACUGUAACUGACACUGAGGCUCGAA